ACCCCUACGGGGGGCAGCAGUUGGGAAUCUUGGACAAUGGGGGCAACCCUGAUCCAGCGACGCCGCGUGGGUGAUGAAGGCCUUCGGGUUGUAAAGCCCUUUCGCCGGGGACGAUGAUGACGGUACCCGGUAAAGAAGCACCGGCCAACUCCGUGCCAGCAGCCGCGGUAA
rnacentral:rRNA from 1 species